rnacentral:rRNA from 1 species
UGGGGAAUUUUGGACAAUGGGCGAAAGCCUGAUCCAGCAAUGCCGCGUGUGUGAAGAAGGCCUUCGGGUUGUAAAGCACUUUUGUCCGGAAAGAAAUCCUUGGCUCUAAUACAGUCGGGGGAUGACGGUACCGGAAGAAUAAGCACCGGCUAACUACGUGCCAGCAGCCGCGGUAAUACGUAGGGUGCAAGCGUUAAUCGGAAUUACUGGGCGUAAAGCGUGCGCAGGCGGUUUGCUAAGACCGAUGUGAAAUCCCCGGGCUCAACCUGGGAACUGCAUUGGUGACUGGCAGGCUAGAGUAUGGCAGAGGGGGGUAGAAUUCCACGUGUAGCAGUGAAAUGCGUAGAGAUGUGGAGGAAUACCGAUGGCGAAGGCAGCCCCCUGGGCCAAUACUGACGCUCAUGCACGAAAGCGUGGGGAGCAAACAGGAUUAGAUACCCUGGUAGUCCACGCCCUAAAACGAUGUCAACUAGUUGUUGGGGAUUCAUUCCUUAGUAACGUAGCUAACGCGUGAAGUUGACCGCCUGGGGAGUACGGUCGCAAGAUUAAAACUUAAAGGAAUUGACGGGGUCAUAGCUGUUUCCU